AGUGAACGCUGGCGGUAGGCCUAACACAUGCAAGUCGAACGGCAGCACAGGAGAGCUUGCUCUCUGGGUGGCGAGUGGCGGACGGGUGAGGAAUACAUCGGAAUCUACUCUGUCGUGGGGGAUAACGUAGGGAAACUUACGCUAAUACCGCAUACGACCUACGGGUGAAAGCAGGGGACCUUCGGGCCUUGCGCGAUUGAAUGAGCCGAUGUCGGAUUAGCUAGUUGGCGGGGUAAAGGCCCACCAAGGCGACGACCCGUAGCUGGUCUGAGAGGAUGAUCAGCCACACUGGAACUGCGACACGGUCCAGACUCCUACGGGAGGCAGCAGUGGGGAAUAGUGGACAAUGGGCGCAAGCCUGAUCCAGCCAUACCGCGUGGGUGAAGAAGGCCUUCGGGUUGUAAAGCCCUUUUGUUGGGAAAGAAAUCCAGCUGGCUAAUACCCGGUUGGGAUGACGGUACCCAAAGAAUAAGCACCGGCUAACUUCGUGCCAGCCGCCGCCGUAA
rnacentral:rRNA from 1 species